rnacentral:lncRNA from 1 species
AAAUGUUGUGAUUGUUGGCCAGGGAAGAUCCCCUCCAAGAAGAAGACAACAACAAUAUUCACCACAGCAGUAUGUUCAACAACCCUUUCCCUAUCAGCAGCCCAUGUAUCCCGUUCAGUACGCCCCGCAACCGUACGUGGCUGCUGUGACGCCCGCCUUUAAUCAACAACAUGCUCAGGCCUAUCAAGCGCCUCCAGUUU